rnacentral:tRNA from 1 species
GGGAAUGUGGCUUAGUGGUAGAGUGCUUGCCUAGCACGCAUGAAGCCCUGGGUUCAAUUCCUCAGUACCA